rnacentral:rRNA from 1 species
AACGAACGCUGGCGGCAGGCCUAACACAUGCAAGUCGAACGAGAAGCCACCUUCGGGUGGUGGACAGUGGCAGACGGGUGAGUAACGCGUGGGAACGUGCCUUUCGGUUCGGGAUAACCCAGGGAAACUUGGGCUAAUACCGGAUACGCCCUUCGGGGGAAAGAUUCAUUGCCGAAAGAUCGGCCCGCGUCGGAUUAGCUAGUUGGUGGGGUAAAAGCCUACCAAGGCGACGAUCCGUAGCUGGUCUGAGAGGAUGACCAGCCACACUGGGACUGAGACACGGCCCAGACUCCUACGGGAGGCAGCAGUGGGGAAUAUUGGACAAUGGGCGCAAGCCUGAUCCAGCCAUGCCGCGUGGGUGAAGAAGGCCUUAGGGUUGUAAAAUCCUUUCGCCGAGGACGAUAAUGACGGUACUCGGAGAAGAAGCUCCGGCUAACUUCGUGCCAGCAGCCGCGGAAA